rnacentral:rRNA from 1 species
GACGAACGCUGGCGGCGUGCCUAAUACAUGCAAGUCGAACGCAGUGGGGACGGGUGAGUAACACGUGGCUAACCUCCCAUCAGAGGGGAUAACACUUGGCAACAGGUGCUAAACCGAUACUGAUGGAUGGACUCGCGGUGCAUUAGGUAGUUGGUGAGGUAACGGCUCACCAAGGCCACGAUGCAUAGCCGACCUGAGAGGGUGAGCGGCCACACGGGGACUGAGACACGGCCCAGACUCCUACGGUAGGCAGAAGUAGGGAAUCUUCGGCAAUGGACGAAAGUCUGACCGAGCAACGCCGCGUGAGUGAAGAAGGUUUUCGGAUCGUAAAACUCUGUUGUUAGAGAAGCGGUAUCUAACCAGAAAGCCACGGCUAACUACGUGCCAGCAGCCGCGGUAAUUC